UACGUAGGGAGCAAGCGUUGUCCGGAAUCAUUGGGCGUAAAGCGCGCGUAGGUGGCCCGGUAAGUCCGCUCUGAAAGUCAAAGGCUCAACCUUUGAAAGCGGGUGGAUACUGCCAGGCUAGAGUCCGGAAGAGGCGAGUGGAAUUCCUGGUGUAGCGGUGAAAUGCGCAGAUAUCGGGAGGAACACCAAUUGCGAAGGCAGCUCGCUGGGACGUCACUGACGCUGAGACGCGAAAGCGUGGGGAGCAAACAGG
rnacentral:rRNA from 1 species